AGUGUGUCUGUAGAACUUGCGUGGGAGUGUCCUCUGAAAAUUCGCUCCGAAGAUCCGAGGGAGAUUUCGUAUGACUUCGGCGGCUACGCGAUAUCGCUUCUAUGCACAUUCGUUGUUUUGAAUCAGGUUUUAAUCCAAACUCACAAAGACUAGUGAUGAGCUGUUCACGUGAGUAGACAAUAAUAAUAAUAAAAGAAAAAAUAAAAGAAGAGAGAGAAAAAGAAGACGAA